CACGAACCAGGCGACCCCAACGACCGCUGCUUCUUCUUCAUUUUCUACACCAGCGACCCCUCACCAUUUACGUCGACCACCUGAAAUACCAAACGACCCUUGAACCCUAAACAUGAAAACCGGUCCAGCCCAUCGUUGCUGCCUCCUCGUCCGCCAUUGACGUCUCCCUCACGUCCUACUGCUGCUUCACCUCCUCCACGACGACCAGCAGCUCGUCAGAAAAUGAACAACAGUAGCCGCGUCUCGGUCAGGUUUAAAUUCUGCUAUAGCCCGUUCAAUUUCUUCGAGGUCCGGUGCGUCAAAGUCGUCAACUGUAGCUUUGCCGGAUGUUUCUUAUUCUUUGUUUCAAAAACGUAUUGCUCUAUAAAGGUCCCGUCCUUUUCUCUUCCUUUGAAUCUCUUAAUUUUAUUAUGUGAAUUUGUUGACAUGCUUCUAAUGAUGUUAUGAUUUUGAAGAAAUAUGAAGUUCAUCUAUAUGUAAUUGUUGAAAAUUCAGGACUGUGAUUUGAUUUGUAUUGUCUUAUGACUCAAUUAAAUGAAAGAGUGAAGCAAUGAAUUAAGUUGAAC
rnacentral:lncRNA from 1 species